rnacentral:rRNA from 1 species
AUUGAACGCUGGCGGCAGGCCUAACACAUGCAAGUCGAGCGGAAACGAGUUAUCURARCCUUCGGGGGACRAUAACGGCGUCGAGCGGCGGACGGGUGAGUAAUGCCUAGGAAAUUGCCCUGAUGUGGGGGAUAACCAUUGGAAACGAUGGCUAAUACCGCAUGAUGCCUACGGGCCAAAGAGGGGGACCUUCGGGCCUCUCGCGUCAGGAUAUGCCUAGGUGGGAUUAGCUAGUUGGUGAGGUAAGGGCUCACCAAGGCGACGAUCCCUAGCUGGUCUGAGAGGAUGAUCAGCCACACUGGAACUGAGACACGGUCCAGACUCCUACGGGAGGCAGCAGUGGGGAAUAUUGCACAAUGGGCGCAAGCCUGAUGCAGCCAUGCCGCGUGUGUGAAGAAGGCCUUCGGGUUGUAAAGCACUUUCAGUCGUGAGGAAGGC